AAGCAUAUGGAGUGUUGCAGUGUGAACAAAUCAGGUUCCAGCCUCACAGCAAAAAACCACCCUGAGCUUCAGAACUAAAGGAACCACUCAGGUACAGAGAGUAUGUUGAAUAUGGAUCACCUUCCGAGGCAAAAUCACAAUAGCAAGAACAGAAAAAUUGUAAAAUUUGAACCCAGCGAUAUUCUGAGGUCCAGCAUCUUCAGCCUUGAAUUGCUCUGUUGACCAGGCCACUUGAGGCGCUGCUGAGCAGCGCUGGCUUCUCACUGUUGUCUGUGGCUCUUCUGAUGCUCUGGUGCUGGCAUUACGGUCAGUUAUUAGGGAACAAUACAUUUAACCUCUGGUCACACUGUGGACAUAAAUUGCAGUAAGAAACACCAUCAGAGAAGUCAGAGGAGGUGUAAGUUAAAUUUUUUCAUUUGGAUGUUGCCAGAAGGACAAGCUGAGACUAAAGACUUCUUUCUCAUCAUUACUCAACUCCAAAGCACACUUAACAUAUAGUAGCUUCCUAGUGAUCACUUACCGCGUGGUAUAUGCAUGAUUUCUCCCACGUGAAGUUUCCAUUUACCUGCAAACAGUCCCUUUCUGGGAUGGUUGACGAUGGCCAAGUGAUUCCCAUUAAUCAGUGU